UACGUAGGUGGCAAGCGUUGUCCGGAUUUACUGGGCGUAAAGAGCGCGCAGGCGGUCGAGUAAGUCGAAUGUGAAAGCCCCCGGCUUAACUGGGGAGGGUCAUUCGAUACUGUUCGACUUGAAGGCAGGAGAGGGCAGCAGAAUUCCCGGUGUAGUGGUGAAAUGCGCAGAUAUCAGGAGGAACACCGAUUGCGAAGGCAGCUCGCUGGGACGUAACUGACGCUGAGACGCGAAAGCGUGGGGAGCAAACAGG
rnacentral:rRNA from 1 species